rnacentral:rRNA from 1 species
CUACGGGUUGCUGCAGUCGAGAAUUUUCCACAAUGGGCGAAAGCCUGCUGGAGCGACACCGCGUGCGGGAAGACGUCCCUCGGGUUGUAAACUGCUUUUCUUAGGGACGAACAAAUGACGGUACCUAAGGAAUAAGGGGCUGCUAACUUCGUGCCAGCAGCAGCGGUAAUACGGAGGCCCCAAGCGUUGUCCGGAUUUACUGGGUGUAAAGGGUCCGUAGGCGGUUACGUAAGUCGUGUGUCAAAUCUUUGGGCUCAACCCAAAGGCUGCAUGCGAUACUGCGUGACUUGAGGUUGGGAGGUACAUGGAAUUGUUGGUGUAGCGGUAAAAUGCGUUAAUGUCAACAAGAACACCAAAUGCGAAAGCGGUGUACUGGACCAAUGCUGACGCUGAACAGCGAAAGCGUGGGUAGAGAAUGGGAUUAGAUACCCCGGUAGUC